CCUCAAGCUGACUUUACCUUCUCAAGCACCAUGGGCUAUGCAGUCCUUUUGGACAAACUAAUCCAACACCUCAGCCUGCCUUCUAGUGGUGAGCAGAAAGACCAUCUACCCAAUGUCUUACCAGCAGGAUCUCAACGAACAGCCGCAGCUCCAGUCCUGAAGCACGCCUAAGUGGGAGGAAGGCAUCGGGAACACCCCAGUGGUGCUGUUGUGGUGCAUGGCACACCUAGGAGCCCUCACCAUGCAUCUACCCAGAAGGCCAGUACACUGCUGGGGAAAUCGCUGCCCUCAUUAAGCCCUUUC